AGCAGUGUGGCUCAGUGGAAAGAGCACAGGCUUUGGAGUCAGAGGUCAUGAGUUUGAAUCCCAGCUCUGCCA
rnacentral:tRNA from 1 species